UACGGGAGGCAGUAGUGGGGAAUAUUGCACAAUGGGCGAAAGCCUGAUGCAGCUAUGCCGCGUGUAUGAAGAAGGCCUUAGGGUUGUAAAGUACUUUCAUCGGGGAGGAAAAACAAAACUAAUAAUUUUAUUUCUUGACGUUACCCGAAAAAGAAGCACCGGCUAACUCCGUGCCAGCAGCCGCGGUAAUACGGAGGGUGCUAGCGUUAAUCAGAAUUACUGGGCGUAAAGAGCACGUAGGUGGUUUUUUUAAAGUCAGAUGUGAAAUCCCUGGGCUUAACCUAGGAACUGCAUUUUGAAACUGAAAUACUAGAGUAUCGUAGAGGGAGGUAGAAUUCUAGGUGUAGCGGUGAAAUGCGUAGAUAUCUGGAGGAAUCCUGUGGCGAAAGCGGCCUCCUAAACGAAUACUGACACUGAGGUGCGAAAGCGUGGGGAGCAAACAGGGAUUAGAUACCCGU
rnacentral:rRNA from 1 species